rnacentral:tRNA from 1 species
UACGUCCUUAGUUCAGUUGGUAGAACGUGGGUUUCCAAAACCUGAUGUCGUGGGUUCAAGUCCUACAGGACGUGU